rnacentral:rRNA from 1 species
UAUGUGAUCGUCUCUCGCAUAUCAAUAAGCGGAGGAAAAGAAACUAACAAGGAUUCCCCUAGUAGCGGCGAGUGAAGCGGGAAGAGCUCAAAUUUGAAAUCUUAAAGGGUUUCCCUUUACGAAUUGUAGUUUAAAGAAGUGUUUUCUGUUGAGGUUUUGGUAAAAGUUCUUUGGAAUAGGACAUCAUAGAGGGUGAGAAUCCCGUAUUUGACCUUUACUUCAACUUUGUGAUACACUUUCAAAGAGUCGGAUUGUUUGGGAAUGCAGUCCAAAAUGGGUGGUAAAUUUCAUCUAAAGCUAAAUAUUGGCGAGAGACCGAUAGCGAACAAGUACCGUGAGGGAAAGAUGAAAAGAACUUUGAAAAGAGAGUUAAACAGUACGUGAAAUUGUCAAAAGGGAAGCGUUUGACACCAGUGUUGUUUUUCUGAAAAUCAAUUAAAGAACUGUUUAUGCUAAGCUGUUUAGACUUUAUCAGCUAUCUGUUUAGUUUUGAGCUUUUCUUUAAUGCACUUUUCAGUUGACAGGUCAACAUCAAUUUCUUUUGCUGUAAAAAAGCUUGAGGAAGGUGGCUUGAGAUUCGUCUUAAGUGUUUAUAGCCUCUUGCCUAUGCAGUCGGAGAGAUUGAGGUCUGCAGCGUAGAUCCUUCGGGGCUAAAUGCAUUUGUGCUAAGUUAUAGCAUUUUAUAGACAACUUGUUGACUAUGAUUUGUCUUGUAGCUUACAUCGCUUAUGUUAUUUUACCUACGCUUAGGAUGUUGAGCGCAUGUCUCUCUCU